AUUGAACGCUGGCGGCAUGCUUUACACAUGCAAGUCGAACGGCAGCGCGGGCUUCGGCCUGGCGGCGAGUGGCGAACGGGUGAGUAAUGCAUCGGAACGUGCCCAGUAGUGGGGGAUAGCCCGGCGAAAGCCGGAUUAAUACCGCAUACGACCUGAGGGUGAAAGCGGGGGACCGAAAGGCCUCGCGCUAUUGGAGCGGCCGAUGUCGGAUUAGCUAGUUGGUGGAGUAAAGGCUUACCAAGGCGACGAUCCGUAGCUGGUCUGAGAGGACGACCAGCCACACUGGGACUGAGACACGGCCCAGACUCCUACGGGAGGCAGCAGUGGGGAAUUUUGGACAAUGGGGGCAACCCUGAUCCAGCCAUGCCGCGUGCGAGAAGAAGGCCUUCGGGUUGUAAACCGCUUUUGUUCGGGAAGAAAUCCUCUGGGCUAAUACCCCGGGGGGAUGACGGUACCGGAAGAAUAAGCACCGGCUAACUACGU
rnacentral:rRNA from 1 species